GCCACGGUAGGAUAAUUUGGUAUUCCGCUGAUUUGAAACGUCGGUGUCAGCAAUGAUUUCUGGGUUCAAAUCCCAGCCGUGGCG
rnacentral:tRNA from 1 species